rnacentral:rRNA from 1 species
CCUACGUGGUGCUGCAGUGGGGAAUAUUGGACAAUGGGCGAAAGCCUGAUCCAGCCAUGCCGCGUGUGUGAAGAAGGCCUUCGGGUUGUAAAGCACUUUCAGUGGGGAAGAAAGCCUUGGGGCUAAUACCCUCGAGGAAGGACAUCACCCACAGAAGAAGCACCGGCUAACUCCGUGCCAGCAGCCGCGGUAAUACGGAGGGUGCGAGCGUUAAUCGGAAUUACUGGGCGUAAAGCGCGCGUAGGCGGUCUGAUAAGCCGGUUGUGAAAGCCCCGGGCUCAACCUGGGAACGGCAUCCGGAACUGUCAGGCUAGAGUGCAGGAGAGGAAGGUAGAAUUCCCGGUGUAGCGGUGAAAUGCGUAGAGAACGGGAGGAAUACCAGUGGCGAAGGCGGCCUUCUGGACUGACACUGACGCUGAGGUGCGAAAGCGUGGGUAGCAAACAGGAUUAGAUACCCGGGUAGUC